rnacentral:rRNA from 1 species
CGCACGGGUGAGUAACGCGUAUGCGACCUGCCCGUUGCAGGGGGAUAAUCGGGAGAAAUCCCGUCUAAUACCGCGUAACGCCGCGGGGCUGCAUGGCCCUGCGGCCAAAGGGAGCGAUUCCGGCAACGGAUGGGCAUGCGUGACAUUAGCUAGUUGGCGGGGCAACGGCCCACCAAGGCGACGAUGUCUAGGGGUUCUGAGAGGAAGGUCCCCCACACUGGUACUGAGACACGGACCAGACUCCUACGGAAGGCAGCAG